rnacentral:rRNA from 1 species
AUUGAACGCUGGCGGCAGGCCUUACACAUGCAAGUCGAGCGGAUGAAGGUAUCUUGCUCCUGGGUUCAGCGGCUGACGGGUGAGUAAUGCCUAUGAAUCUGCCUGCUAGUGCGGGAUAACGUCCCUAAACGGGCGCUAAUUCCGCAUCCGUCCUGAGGGUGAGCGUGGGGGAUCUUCGGCCCUCGCGCUAUCAGAUGAGCCUAGGUUGGCUUACCUAGUUGGUGGGGUAAAGGCGUACCAAGGCGACGAUCAGUAACUGUUCUGAGAGGAUGAUCAGUGACACUGGAAGAGAGACACGGUCCAGACUCGGACGGGAGGCAGCAGUGGGGAAUAUUGGGCGAUGGGAGAAAGCAUGAUCCAGCAAUGCCGCAAGUGUGAAGAAGGUAAUGGGAUUGGAAAGCAAAAUAAGUAGGGAGGAAGGGCAGUAAGUUAAGACCUAGCGGUUUUGACGGUACCAACAGAAUAAGCACCGGCUAACUUCGUG